UAAAGAAUCUGAUUUCACAGAAACUGGAGCUCGCUUCAAAGAAGACAGCAACUAUCCCCCACUGAUAGAGCUCAAGCAAAAGAAAACAGCAACCAAGAGAAAGAAUGACAUACAGCUUGGAACGACGUGAGGGUUGGCUAGACCAGUCUUCACUCACCCACACCACUUGUCAGGCGUUGGUCUGGUCCACUGCAGCGUCUGCAGUCGACCCAGCACAACCUCCAGCGCAUGGAUGCUUCAUUUGAUGGCUUGAAGAGAAACCCAUCCCUCAGAGAGGAGUCUUCACAUGGUACAUCAGAGGAGAAGAGCCGGGUGCUGUCUGCGAGGGAGAAGUAAGGAAAUGGCUUCUCAUCAAUCACCUUCCGAGAGAGGCAUGGCAGGAGAGGAGGUGUCGGGGGAACCGAGGGAAGAAGCGAGCUGUCUACACUGGCUGCAGAAUGCAGACCCAGACUCAAACG